UUAUUAUAUAUGCAACCACACAACAUAAUUGAUGCAAACAGGAUGUUUUAUGUAUCAGAGGUGUGAACUGUUUUCACAUUGUUUUAAACCAAGUUAAAAAAG